GAGCUUCAGUUGAGGAAAUGCCUCCAUGAGAUCCAGCUGUAGGAGACUUUGUGAUGGUUUGAAGAAGAACUGUCCCCCAGAGGUUCCAUCCCUAGUUGCUGGUGCUAUCUGAAGGUUACAUCGAGGGGCAGGCUAGCCGCAAGAAGUACAUCACUGUGGUCAGGCCAUGAGAGUUCACAGCCUUGCUCCACUCCCAGUUUGCUUUCACUGCUUCAAGCUGUGGUUGAGUUGUGACCUCUCAGCUUCCAGCCACCAAGCCCACUGAUUGCUUCAAUGCCUUCUCAGCAAGAUGUGACUCUGUUUGUUUG